UUUUAGGUAAACUAAGCUGACGGGUUCAUACCCCGUCUAUGAGAGCUCUCUCUUUAAAAU
rnacentral:tRNA from 1 species